rnacentral:lncRNA from 1 species
CAGUAAGAGAAAUGCCAAGAUUUCAGGCUGUGGACUGUGUUCCAGUGGCAAGCAGCAGAGAUCCAUGUUUAGCUUGUGUUUCCUUGUGAUUCAAGGGCCCAUGGCAUGUCUCUGGAUAAGCAGAUUGCCAUGGAUCGAGGUACUCGGCCCUGAGUGGAGAGAGUGAGGGAAUGAAGAACAGACAAACAGACAAACAGGCAGGCACAAGGAAAGCUGGGAUCAGGUAAUCUGAGCGUGGAAGGAAGGAGACGCACAGCCACGGGAGCUCAGCGUGUAUAUUAUCCAGAGGUGAAAAGGAGGUAGGGUUACUCUGAACAGCUGCACUAGGCAGUAGGGUUAAUUCCAUACAGAUAAUCAAGGAGACAGAGUUUGUGGAAUACAGCUGGGAACAGUCUUCAGACCGUACACAUCCAAGGGAAAGGCUUUAAUGAACAGUUUCCAGCACACUAUAAAUACUUGGUCUGGUUCCCUAAGAAAGGCUUUUCCAUUUACCUCUGAACUACAACCCAG